rnacentral:rRNA from 1 species
AUUGAACGCUGGCGGCAGGCCUAACACAUGCAAGUCGAACGGUAACAGGAAGAAGCUUGCUUCUUUGCUGACGAGUGGCGGACGGGUGAGUAAUGUCUGGGAAACUGCCUGAUGGAGGGGGAUAACUACUGGAAACGGUAGCUAAUACCGCAUAAUGUCGCAAGAUCAAAGAGGGGGACCUUCGGGCCUCUUGCCAUCGGAUGUGCCCAGAUGGGAUUAGCUAGUAGGUGGGGUAACGGCUCACCUAGGCGACGAUCCCUAGCUGGUCUGAGAGGAUGACCAGCCACACUGGAACUGAGACACGGUCCAGACUCCUACGGGAGGCAGCAGUGGGGAAUAUUGCACAAUGGGCGCAAGCCUGAUGCAGCUAUGCCGCGUGUAUGAAGAAGGCCUUCGGGUUGUAAAGUACUUUCAGCGGGGAGGAAGGGAGUAAAGUUAAUACCUUUGCUCAUUGACGUUACCCGCAGAAGAAGCACCGGCUAACUCCGUG